GCAAAACCACCCUGCAGUUCAUAAAAAUUUAUGAUCCAAGACAAAAAGAGGACCCGUUUAGUUUAACAAAUAUAUACCGAGUGCUGACAAUACACUUGGCCCUACAGUACGUUCCAGGGCACACUAAGUAUGGAAGAGAAAGGCCUCUCCCUUUACAGGAAGGGAGGAAGCUGUGGUAAAAUGAUUCAGUGGGGGUAGGGGUGGGGGAGGAGUACUGAGGGAGAGGGACUGGCUGGUGAGACAAGUUGGCGAAGGGCUUCUCACAGCAUUUGGGGAAGAAGAGGGGCGUGCCCCAGUGUCCUGGAGGGAGUGAUCCAGGUCGAAGAUGCUGAUUUGUGAGGAUGUCACUCCAAGGGCACUAAGUGGCUCUGUGGACAUUGGCUCCAUGCUGGUGGAUCAUAUCGAGAGCCCUUGGUUCCCAGAAGAAACAGCACAGACACUGCAAAACUGAAGUGAGGGUGCCAAGAAAAAACACAGACUGGCCAGGAAGCAAGAGGAACCAGGAUGAGGGGAGACACAUGAGGCUGAGGCUGGAUGCUGGGUCCAUGUGGUCCAGGAGGAGGGACUGAGACAAAUGCAGGAUAACUGCCACUGCAGUUAUAGAGGAUGCCAUCAUGGUUCAACCCCUCCUUGGACUUGGCAGAGCCUCCACCUCCACUGUUCAGAGGACUGAGUCUGUUUCCCCACCCGAGUAAGAGAGGAAGGUUCUGCCAUGCCUGGGGAUGGCUAUGGAGGGAGGCCAUUGGGUGCCAGCCUGGGCUACAUCUACCCCUUGGCUGAUGGUUUCUGAUUCUUCUUUCUCCGUGUUCAGAUAGUGGUGGCUGGUUGGAGACUGCUCAGCUCUCAGCCCCAUCUAUGAAGACCCAAGUCCUCUGUUGGACAUUAAGCCAGCAUCAUUCUUCCUUUGCUCUCAUUCCCAACAGCCUUAUGUGCCCCAGCUCUCCGGGAAUAAGAAGUCAGUGUUCCUCCACACGGGCAAGCAUGAGAAUCCCAGAGUGAAAUAAAUAAGACCUUAGCUCGUGUCUGUUGGUCUGUCUGUCCUUCUGACCUUGGUGCUUCUCAGAGCUUCACCCUUCUUCCUGGACUUCACGGGUCCCCAUCUCUGUCUCCCGCCGCCCUCCGCACCCUCUGUCGCCCCAAGUUGCGGUUGUCAAGUAUUUCCACCGUCAGCACUUGCCGAGUGGAACUGGAAGUUCUUCCACUUGUGCAGCGAGCCGCGUGGGCAGGUGGGUAAUGUCUGUUUUACUCUCUGUAAUGAAUCCCAUCUUCUUCUCUCUGCCGAGAUGGUUAUUGAUUCUGUCUUGACACCUUGGUUUGUUUUCCGCCAGCUCCUGCCUUCCCUUCAUCUUGCUGUGGCCAUUUCUCCGCUCUUAUCUGUAAUUUCCUCUCUUGUUGCGCUGUCUCCCUCCUGGGCAGUCGCUGCACCAAGACAGGGGUUGUGUAUUAACUCCACAGUGAGGUCCAGCAGCCCUGCUCAGAUGGGGUGAGUUGGGCUGGUGAUUGUUAAUGGGCAAAAGCUGCUAGGAGGAAGAAGGGUAGAGGAGAGAGAGCCAGGCUUAC